AGAACGAACGCUGGCGGCAUGCCUAAUACAUGCAAGUCGAACGAACACUUCGGUGUUAGUGGCGCACGGGUGCGUAACGCGUGGGAAUCUGCCCUUGGGUUCGGAAUAACAGUUGGAAACGACUGCUAAUACCGGAUGAUGACGAAAGUCCAAAGAUUUAUCGCCCAGGGAUGAGCCCGCGUAGGAUUAGCUAGUUGGUGAGGUAAAGGCUCACCAAGGCGACGAUCCUUAGCUGGUCUGAGAGGAUGAUCAGCCACACUGGGACUGAGACACGGCCCAGACUCCUACGGGAGCAGCAGUAGGGAAUAUGGACAAUGGGCGCAAGCCUGAUCCAGCAAUGCCGCGUGAGUGAUGAAGGCCUUAGGGUUGUAAAGCUCUUUACCCGAGAUGAUAAUGACAGUAUCGGAGAAUAAGCCCCGGCUAACUCCGUAGCCAGCAGCCGC
rnacentral:rRNA from 1 species